UCUUAGAUGACUGAGGUAAAUUAGGUGUUAGAUUUUUAAUCUAAAAACGGCAUGGACUAUAUGCCUCUAAGAG
rnacentral:tRNA from 1 species